UCUGGGGGAGAGAGCAGCUCUCCAAUCCAAUAUGAGAAAGUGUUACAAAAGGUUACAAGACUCUAGCCUUCAAGCUUUACACAUGAACAAACCCUAGAUUCUACCCUUUGGUAUUUUCCCACUCUCACACUAUGAACCCUAAAACCCAAGGUGAUUACAAUGUUUUUCCCAACCCAAGAGACACUCUCAACAAAGACACUCAAUCCAUUUGGUUCCCUCCUUUGCUAUCCAAGUUCUCUCUCAAAAGCUCAUACAAGCUCUCUUAAGUUCUUUCUCAACUCUACUUCAAAAAAGCACAAGAACACAAUAUAUACUAGUCUUCCCCUGAAGAAAUCGUGCCACGAUUUCCCUAGAUCGUGUCACGAUCUGCAGCGGACCCCAGGUUGACCAGUCCUUAUCAGUGAUACUUAAUGAGCAAGUUUCUGAAUCAUGUCACGAUUUCCCAAGAUCGUGCCACGAUUUGGCGUCCUGCAAACUGGCUCACGGCAUCUCAAAUCGUGUCACGAUUCCAAAAUCGUGUCACGAUUUCUCUGUUCUUCCAGACCACAAAUUUGAAGCCAAAAUCAACAUUUCUCCACCUUGACUUCUAAUUUGGUGGUGAUGUCAGUUUAACCAUCAACCACCAUGCUGCUCUCUCCAAAAGGGAAUUACUCUUCGACAAACUUGAUCAAGUCCAAGCAAUGCUUGAAUCUUGAUCGAGGCAAUGACUUGGUGAACACAUCCGCCAGAUUCUCCUCCGAUGCCACUUUCUCAACCACAAUCUCUUUUGAUUCAAUCAUGUCUCUAACAAAGUGCAGGCGAAUGUCAAUGUGCUUUGUCCUUUCAUGAUACACUUGAUGAUUUGCCAAGUGAAUGGCACUUUGACUAUCACAAUGUAUCUUCACACAUUCUUGAGUAAUUCCUAACUCACCAAUCAUCCCUUUCAACCAUAUGGCCUCCUUCACACCUUCAACAAGUGCGAUGUACUCCGCUUGAGUAGUAGAUAAUGCCACCACGGAUUGUUGAUUUGCCUUCCAACUAAUAGUCGUGCCAUAAAGAAUAAACACAAAACCCGACAAGGAUUUUCUGGUGUCCACGUUGCCCGCAUAAUCCGCAUCAACAUACCCCUCCAAAGCGUCUUCAUCUUGAGUUGCCCUUGUGUACUUCAAACCGCCCUUCAACGACCCAUUCAAAUACCUCAAUACCCACUUCAAAGCUUGCCAAUGGACAAUUCCCGGAUUUGCCAUAAACCGACUCACAAUGCUAACCGCAUAAGCUAAGUUCGGUCUACUACAAACCAUUCCAUACAUGAUGCUUCCAACCCCACUUGCAUAGGGAGUACCUUCCAUCAAUUGCUUCUCAUCCUCGGAUUGAGGACAUUGUUGUAUGGACAACUUUGUGUGGUGACCCAAGGGAGUGCUCACGGUUUUAGAGUUUGACAUUCUAAAACGCUCCACCACCUUCUUCAAAUAACCAAGUUGAGAUAAGAAAAGUUCGCCUUUGUCACGAUUCCUCACGAUAUCAAUCCCAAGAACUCUCUUUGCCGGACCAAGAUCCUUCAUCUCAAAUUCACCAUUUAACCUCUCCUUGAGCUUCAUAAUCUCAUCCUUGCUAGAGCUCGCCAUCAAGAUAUCAUCCACAUAUAAAAGAAGAUAGAGAAUGACUUUCUCACUCUUCUUCAACAUGUACACACAAGAAUCAUAUCCGCUUCUUGUAACACUCCUAUUUCUAUUUAAGUAAUUAAACAUGCGAAUAAUACAUUUAUUCAAGAAAUAGAGAUUACGUCUUAUUCAAAAUUCAAAAAACGAUAGACAUGUAUAUGAACUUCAACAGUCGCAGCGGAAUAUAAAUCAGAGUGAUCAAAUAUAUACAUGCCAUGAGCAAAUAAAUCAUGUCCCUAAGAUAAAUCUCAAAACCCAAACAUACGGGCAGUCAUCAACAAAACAAUAAUCCAAAGGAAAUAUAAACAACCUAAUCUAGACCGACACGACAAGCCUAGAUCAGAGCCGACACGACCCGAUAUUGGAGAAAGCUCCCGAUAUCCCACGCAAAGACUCACCGAGCACUACUCCUGCACAACGUCUACUCACCCAUACAGGCAAGUAGGCGGUUAAAACCACUGGGGGUAAGUAUUACAUUAUCAUAACCAAAUAAUAAUCAAAUCGAAUAAUAUCAUGUACUUGAAUAAUAUUAGUCAUGCAUAAAUACUUACAUCACAACUCGUUAUCUCAUAUCAACAUACAUCAAUCACAUGAAUAAUUACCCAAUCAUAAAUAUUCAUUCACAACACCAAUCAUUUAACAAUCAUUAUCGACAUGCAUUCAUCUCAUUUCAUCACCAAUCACAUAUUUCACAUAGGACUCAUACUAUGAUAUGCACUUAUGGACACAUAAAUGCAUGUGGUACCAAAUCUCAACAAGGUCGUCACCUCCGAUGGACAAGUCAACAUCGCAUGUAAGGCUCACCUCUGCCUUACAAUAAUCUCGAAGUAAAAGAGUCAUCCCUUUUACAGCAACAACGACUAUGAUGCAUGGACAUGUGUAAGGACUCGAUAAUGCGACAACAAUUCACAAUCUCAACUCAGUAUAUAGGACAACACCCAAUUAUAUUGAUCAUCUCCACAACAUUGCAUUAUCAAGGAAACAUGUCUACACACAGUUACAUCAUAGCAUUCAUCAUCACACAUCAACACGAUUAUCAAUAAUCAACAAUGUCAUUCAACAUCAACUAUAUCAUAUAGUUUCACCAUUCCAAACAAUUCUCAUAUUCCAAGUAAGAGAACAUACAACAUCUCAUCACAAAUAUCAUAUUCAACAUUCAACUACAAUCAAAUACUUCCAUAUAAUCAUACGAAACUAAUUAUGAAAGAUUUAUAAGAUGAUUGGCUUAAAAGGAUAUUUUCAUCAAUGUUCGUCUCUCUUUAACAUCUUACAAGAAUCUUCCAUUUUCAAAACCAAAACCAAAUAAAACUCAAGGAAACCAAUCUCAAUCAUUUUCAUUUAUCAUAUAAUCACUACACUACUUUAAUCCCAUUCCAUUUCCUUGAAUUUCAAAUUUCGGAAAAAUCAACGUUCUUGACAAUUUUCAAAGUGGAAAUUCAAUUACAUAAACCAAGUCCAAUUCUUGUUCAAGGAAGUGUUCCAGUAGGAUUAAUUGUACAAACAGUGAUUAUAUAAGUUAAAAGAACUGUUUUAAGAAGUUCGGAUUGGCCCUCGGAAGCUCGGAACAAAGUUUCAAAAGUGCUGGAAAAAGUUCUGCACGCUUAAGCAUCCACCAGCUCGCUUAAGCGUCCAACUUCCAGUAGCUACUGUGACUGCACGCUUACCAGCUCGCUUACAGCACGCUUAAGCGUGCAUUCAUCAGACAGCAACUAGCGUCACUUGCAGAGUCGCUUAAGCGACCAUUCAAAAUUCUGCAUAACAAAAGUUACGGGUUUCACCCAUUUUUCACCCAAAACUCCCAAUUUUGAUCUCCCAAUGCCCAAAUAUGUUUCCAAAUAAUGUUUAUAGGUCAUAUAACUCACAAGGAUACUCAAAAACACGUUGAACAUGAAAAUCAAACUCAUUUUUAGCCAAUUCACCAAAUUAUCUAUUCACACCAAAACACCAACAACAAUUCAAAAUUUUCAUCAUCAAUCCAUGAAUAUGCAUACCCAAUCAGUGAUUCAUCAACAACAACAUCAAAUAACAACAAUAACAUCAAUUGAGCAAGAAUCAAAUCUCAACAUAACAAUAACUUAGCAAAAUUCACCAAUUGAGCACAAUUUUCACAACUUAUCAUUUUUACAUAUUUGAACAUGUAACUUCACCAACAAUCAUACAAUUAUCAUCAAUUUAUGCAUACAAACAUAUCAUCAUAGUUGGAGCACGAAUUUAGCAACAAUCAUCCAUAAUCAAAAUUCAUACAACAUUUGAAAAUUUACAAAAUGAUGAUGAUUAUGAUAAAGACUAACCCCCUUACCUUAAUUAUCUCCAACUAUUAGCUCUAGCUUCACUUUAGCUCCUAUGAUUCUCCAAACCCUUGAAUUCUUCAAGCUCCUCCUCUCUCUAACCCUUGUUUCUCUCUUCUCCCACUUUCUCUCUCUACCUCUUCUUAGGAAAUGUUUUUGUAAAAUGAAUGGAAUGAUAUUUUCCUAAGACACUCAUUAGGUAUAUCACCUAAUGGGCCUAACUUAGUUUCUAGUGGGCUUAACCCAUUUCUAUUCAAACCAAAAUAUUUCUACUCUCCAAACGAUAUUUAACUAAUAAAGGUAAAAUGUCACUAACGGUUACUAAACGGUAAAAUCUCAAUUUACUCUAGUAACUUAAUAAAAUACUAUUCUCACUAAUUACUAAAAGUAAUUCCCACUAAAAUUAUAAUUUUUACCCGAUCUCACAAAAUGACCAAAAUACCCUUCUAACACGGAACUCAUGAAAAUGCACCCAAUGAUGAUUAAUCAUACACAAACACAUAAAUCACAUAAUAAAAGUAAUUAAAAUAAAUCUAGCUAAAAAUCGGACUGUUACACUUCUCACAAAACCGGUCUUCAAAAGAAACUCAUCAAACCGACGAUACCAUUGCCUAGGGCUUUGGUUCAACCCAUACAAAGAUUUCUUCAAAAGACACACCUUAGACUUGUCCUCCACAAAACCUUCCGGUUGCUCCAUGUAGAUUGUCUCUUCAAGGUGACCAUGUAAGAAAGCGGUCUUCACAUCCAUUUGUUCCAACUCAAGAUUGAAUUGAUUCACAAUAGCCAUAAGUAUCCUUAUGGAACAAUGCUUCACCACCGGUGAAAAGUUCUCGUUGUAGUCGAUCCCCUCCACUUGAGUGAAACCCUUUGCCACAAGUCUUGCUUUGUACCUUGGACCUUCAACACCCGGAAUGCCAUCCUUUUUCUUGAAGAUCCACUUGCAUCCAACUACCCUUUGGUGAUUAGGUAACUUCACAAGUUUCCAAGUUUGGUUCCUCUCCAAUGAAUCCAUCUCUUCAUUCACUGCCUUCAACCAAUACUUGCUUUCUUUGCUCUCAAAUGCCUCCUUGAAGUUUCUAGGCUCUGAGUCUUGCACAUCUUCCGCCGCAUUUAGAGCAAAACACACAAAGUCCGCAUAACUGAAUCUCUUAGGAGCCGUAAUUGUCCUUCUUUCUCUAUCUCUAGCCAAUAGAUACUCAGGAUCCACUACCGGUUGAGUUCCACUUGUAUCCGAUGUCGAAGCUUCAUCUUCCACAUCUUCUUCUUCUUCAUUUGGAAGCUCCACCUCAAACUGAGUUUUCUCCACCAUAGUUUCUGGUACUUGAGUCUCUAGGUCUUUACACUUCAUCCCCAUCCGGGUCUCAUCAAAGGUAACAUCCCUACUAACUAAGACUCUUGAUCCUCAACUAGAUUCCAAUUUCCACAACUUGUACCCCUUCACACCUUCCGGAUAACCAAUGAAGACACAUUUCCACAGCUUGUCUUGCUUGAUAUGCGCAUAUGCCAAAGCUCCGAAAACCUUCAAAGAGGAGUAAUCUGCGGGUUUCCCACUCCAUACCUCCAUAGGUGUCUUGAAGUCUAUCCCCGUUGAUGGACAUCUAUUGAUCAAAUAAGCAGCCGUUGUCACGGCUUCACUCCAGAAACUAUUAGGUAACCCAGCUCCUAGAAUCAUACACCUCACACGCUCCAAAAGAGUCCUAUUCAUGCGUUCCGCAAGACCAUUUUGUUGCGGUGUUCUCGGUACGGUUCUAUGCCUCUUGAUUCCUUUCAACCUGCAAAACUCAUUAAACUGCUCUGAAACAAACUCCAGGCCAUUGUCAGUUCUUAAACCUUUUAGUUUAGUUCCCAUUUGAUUUUCUAUGAGAGUGUGCCAUUCUUUGAACUUUUCAAAGGUAUCACGUUUGUUUUUCAAAACAAAGACCCACACUCUCCUAGAAUAAUCGUCAAUGACAAAAAGAAAAUAGGAACCUCCCCCAUGAGUAGGAGUCUUAGAAGGACCCCAAAGAUCCGAAUGCACAUACUCAAAAGGCCUACUAGAAUGAUGCAUGCCACUUCCAAACUUCACCCUAUGUUGUUUGCCUAGUAUGCAAUGCUCACAAAAUUCUAGCUUGUCCAAUUUAUCUUUCCCUAGCAAACCUUGUUUAGCUAGUUCAACUAAACCCCUCUCACUAACAUGCCCCAAUCUCAAAUGCCACAAUUCAGAAUUAUUAUGAGAUGCAACACUAGCUAUCGAUGCAUUACCAAUUACUAUGGAACCAUCUAAAAUGUAUAAACCGUUCAUUCUAGACCCCUUUACCGUAAUCAAUGCACCAUGCGAAAUUUUACAAACCCCAUGCUCUAUUCUAGUGCAAUAACCUAGAUUGUCAAACAUGCUUAUGGAAAUUAAAUUUCGCUUAAGUUCGGGAACAAACCUCACAUCCCUUAAAAGGAAUUCACGGCCAUCAAACAUCUUUAGACAAACGUUGCCCAUGCCUUGGACUUUGCAAGCUUUGUUAUUUCCGAGUCGAACAACUCCUCCUUCUUUUAGAAUCAAAGUCUCAAAAUAUUCCUUUCUAGGACACAUGUGAUAAGAGCAUCCCGAGUCCAAAACCCAACUCUUCUCCGGUUCCCAACUUGUUACCACUAGUGCACCCGCACUCUCAUAACCUUCUUUAUUUGAAGCCUCCGCAACUUGAACCGAAGGACUACCGUCGCCCCCCUUAUCCGGACAAUCUUUCUUGAAAUGACCUUGCUUGUGACAAAGAAAGCAUUUAUACUUUGAUUUGUCAAAGCCCUUGGACCUAGACUUGGAUCUUGAUUUCCCUUUGCCUUUUCCUCUAUGCUCAUUCCUCCCUCUUGUAACAUUCAAGCCUUCACUACCUUCAUCAACCUUCAUGUCCUUGAACUUGGUCAAUUCUUUGGUUCUCAAAGCCGCUUGGACCUCCUCCAAAGUAGUAGUGCCCUCCUUACCAUAAAGGAUGGUAUCCUUGAAAUGCUCAAAGGACUUUGGUAAUGAACAAAGUAACAACAAAGCCUUAUCCUCAUCUUCCAUGUUAACUUCAAUGUUGGCCAAAUCAUCAAGAAUCUUGUUAAACUCCGUAAGUUGCUCCGAGAUCGAUUUAGACUCCAUCAUCUUGAAUGAAUAGAGUUGUUGCUUCAAGAGUUGCCUAUGAGCCAAAGAUUUCGUCAUAUACAAUGACUCCAACUUCGCCCACAUCGAUGCCGCGGUAGCUUCUCUCGCGACAUCCCUUAAGACCUUAUCUCCGAGACAUAAGACAAUGGCACUCUUUGCCUUGUCUACCAUCUCACGCUUCUCCUCUUGUGUCAAGGUUGCCGGCAUCGCCGCUUGACCCUUCAAUGCUUCUACACACUUUUGUUGUGUCAAUACCGCUUGCAUCUUAACCUUCCACAACCCGAAAUCAUUACUUCUGGUGAACUUCUCGAUGUCCCACUUUGACCCCAUGAUAUCAACUAUCAAUCACGCCUAUGCCCCACGGUGGGCGCCAAUUGUUGUGAAUCCGGUUCCAAAGAAACCUUCACACCAAUGAAAUAAACCAAUUAUGUGUGGAGCAAGUGAUAGUGAUAAUCAAUGAGAACAUAUGGUCUCCAAGCAAACAACAACAACAAAACAGCCCUAACUAGUGUAUAGCAAAAAACCACACAAAGAGAUACCAAAGCAUAAACAAGAUAAGAAGGAAGAACAAAACACCGAGAAGAUUGUUGACCCAGGUCAGCCAAUAUGGCCUAAUCUGGGGGAGAGAGCAGCUCUCCAAUCCAAUAUGAGAAAGUGUUACAAAAGGUUACAAGACUCUAGCCUUCAAGCUUUACACAUGAACAAACCCUAGAUUCUACCCUUUGGUAUUUUCCCACUCUCACACUAUGAACCCUAAAACCCAAGGUGAUUACAAUGUUUUUCCCAACCCAAGAGACACUCUCAACAAAGACACUCAACCCAUUUGGUUCCCUCCUUUGCUAUCCAAGUUCUCUCUCAAAAGCUCAUACAAGCUCUCUUAAGUUCUUUCUCAACUCUACUUCAAAAAAGCACAAGAACACAAUAUAUACUAGUCUUCCCCUGAAGAAAUCGUGC
rnacentral:lncRNA from 1 species